CUUGUCAUUUGACGGAAUUGAGGAAAAUUAAUUCCAACAUGUUGUACCGUUCCCAGGAUAUAAAGUACACUUUCAUGAAAGCGUUUAUUCGACUCUCUGACUAUAAAAAUCCCUGGAUAAAAGAAGAUUUGGAAGGAAUUAAGAGGAUUAUAUAUUAAUAAUAGCAAAGCAAAUAUUACUUUAAACGGUGACUCAUAUCGAGUUAGAAAAUGCUAAGUUAUUAAAAACCAGAUGUUCAUGGAGGUCACUUGUGUAUACCACCAAGCGAAUUUAUGCCAAUGAUAUCUGCAGUAAGAGAGCUGGAGAUCUAUUCUGUGAAAAGAAUUCGAUCUAUCAACAUUUGUCGUGUUUGUUUACAGACCAGACUGAAAAGUGAAUUGAAAAAAGAAUUGAAAUAGAAAUUUCUGUUACAAAGAAUAAUGCAAUGCUAGUGACAAUUCAUAAUCACUAACAUGAAAGAAGAAUUUAUAGGCUCGUAAAUGGAGAGAACGAAGCAAGAUGAAUAAAUUCAGUAAUUAAGUUUAAACGCGUUUCUCUCUAUAUUAUUAUAUACAUCGUA